rnacentral:rRNA from 1 species
CCUGCCCAGCAGAGAGACCCGCGGAC